UACAGAGACUGCAAGCGUUAUUCGGAUUCACUGGGCGUAAAGGGUGCGCAGGCGGCCAAGUGUGUUAGGCGUGAAAGCCCGGGGCUUAACCCCGGAAUUGCACCUAAAACUACUUGGCUAGAGCAUUGGAGAGGGUAGCGGAAUUCACGGUGUAGCAGUGAAAUGCGUAGAUAUCGGGAGGAACACCGGUGGCGAAGGCGGGUCUCUGGGCAUCUCCUGACGCUGAGGCGCGAAAGCGUGGGGAGCAAACGGG
rnacentral:rRNA from 1 species